GGUCAACAACCUUACAGGUCGGCCCCUACAAAAAAAGGUCAAUUACUGACAGGUGGGACCCACGUCAAACGGUCCAGUACCGACAGGUGGGCCCACAUCAAAGGUUAAGUGCUUACUUGUGGGGCCCGCUAGCAAACCAACAAUCCCCAGACAACAUCUUUAAACACCCCCAUUUGACUUUUAUGCAUUUUCACCCAGACAGAGCACUUCAUGAGCCAGCGUGCCAUCGAGUGAUUCGCUUCGUCCAUUACAGUCUUCAGCGCCAUUUUUCAUGUUUCCAUGCGCUUCAACGGUUUCCAUAAGCAAUUAUCUCGGCAUCGAAAGCCCUGCUGCUGCUGUUCGCCCGAGCCGCCCGCUCAGCUGCGGCGGCCACAUAUCGCGUCGCCAGCUUGGCUGAGCGGAGGGCCCUCUCUCCGGGUCCGGGUCCGGCCGCCGCCGUACCUACCCACGGCACGGCCGCUCCAUCAUCAAAAGGUGGUGGCAUGGUGGAGUUUAUGCCAAAGGAGGAGGACCUUGAGUCAGACGAAGCCGUGUGGCGCCUGUAUGAGCGCUGGUGCAAGGAUUUCAACCAGAAGCGUGAGCCUGACGAGAUGGCUCGCCGGUUCAACAAGUUCAAGAACAGGGUGUUGCGUGUCCGCGACAUGAACAAUUCCAAUGCUGAUAAUCCUCAGGUCAUACAAGAUGGGGCUGACCAAGUUCACUGACGGGAAGCUGGCGGAGAUGCGUGCCAAUCGUGAUACGCUUGCGGUGAAGCUUGCGGAGAAGUUUCCUGGGCCAGUAUGUCGUCGUCGCAGAGGCGAGGACAAGUAUUUGAGGGAAGUCUACGCUGAUUUUGACGUGGUUAACGGGAAACUCUUCGUCUUCUUUCCUGUGGAGAAGGGGGAAGGCGGCGUCGGAUAUCGUAAGAAGGAGGUCUCUACUGAGCAUGAAGUUCUUUCUGGCAGAUUGUUUGUUGCAGAUCUACCUGAUGAAGGGUCUGAGCUGUUCGUCGUAAAUCCAGAGAUACUGGGGCGCCGCUUGAUCCCAGGCUACCUCCACUACUCCCUCGGAUUCUAAAUUGUCGUUGAAAUAUUACAUGUAUCUAGACGCUUUUUAAUAAUAGAUACAUUCAUAUUUAGACAAAUUUGAGUCAAGAAUUUAAGAUCAGAGAAAGUAAUUUAGGUGUACGGUGACUAUCCUUGUGUGCACUUUUACCAAGUUGUUCCUUUUGCCGAAGAAUGCAUAUGUACUAAUGCUUUUGGAAGGAAGGCAUGCAUCUAGGUAAUAAAUCAAUUCUGUGUAA